AAGACCUUGCGCUUUUGGAGCGGCCGACGUCUGAUUAGCUUGUUGGUAAGGUAAAAGCUUACCAAGGCUUCGAUCAGUAGCUGGUCUGAGAGGACGACCAGCCACACUGGGACUGAGACACGGCCCAGACUCCUACGGGAGGCAGCAGUGGGGAAUUUUGGACAAUGGGGGCAACCCUGAUCCAGCCAUGCCGCGUGAGUGAAGAAGGCCUUCGGGUUGUAAAGCUCUUUCAGCCGGAACGAAACGGUUACGGUUAAUACCCGUGACUACUGACGGUACCGGAAGAAGAAGCACCGGCUAACUACGUGCCAGCAGCCGCGGUAAUACGUAGGGUGCAAGCGUUAAUCGGAAUUACUGGGCGUAAAGCGUGCGCAGGUGGUUUUGUAAGUCAGAUGUGAAAUCCCCGGGCUUAACCUGGGAACU
rnacentral:rRNA from 1 species